AUUGAACGCUGGCGGCAUGCCUUACACAUGCAAGUCGAACGGUAACAAGUCUUCGGAUGCUGACGAGUGGCGAACGGGUGAGUAAUGCAUCGGAACGUGCCCAGUUGUGGGGGAUAACUGCUCGAAAGAGCAGCUAAUACCGCAUACGACCUGAGGGUGAAAGCGGGGGAUCGCAAGACCUCGCGCAAUUGGAGCGGCCGAUGUCAGAUUAGGUAGUUGGUGGGGUAAAGGCCUACCAAGCCGACGAUCUGUAGUUGGUCUGAGAGGACGACCAGCCACGCUGGGACUGAGACACGGCCCAGACUCCUACGGGAGGCAGCAGUGGGGAAUUUUGGACAAUGGGCGCAAGCCUGAUCCAGCAAUGCCGCGUGCAGGAAGAAGGCCUUCGGGUUGUAAACUGCUUUUGUCAGGGAAGAAAUCCUCUGGGUUAAUACCCCGGGGGGAUGACGGUACCUGAAGAAUAAGCACCGGCUAACUACGUGCCAGCCGCCGCCGUAAUAC
rnacentral:rRNA from 1 species